AAAUGUAUUUGAUAAUAUAGGGGAUGGUGAACAUUGCUACAAAUAAUAGUAUAACUAUGUAAACACUGUUAUAUAAAUGAUAAGAAAAAGUGUUGAAUGUUUAGCAAAACACGGUUAGAAAAAAGAACAGGAGAACCCGGAAAGUCAAAACAAUUACUCCAAUAAGCAGGUAAAACAAAAAGAUGGGAUUCCCACAUUUUAUUUGUUGCCUAUAAAAUAAAAUAAUAAAACACAAAAUCCAAGUUUUACCACUGCAUUCUCUUAUUUAUCUAUAUAUAGGAAGAAAAGAGAGGAGCUAGUUAGAUGACAUAAAUGUUUAUUUAACAUAAUUGGUUCUGUAGUUGCCCAGUGUCCUGUUGUCACAUUGUNNNN
rnacentral:lncRNA from 1 species